rnacentral:rRNA from 1 species
AUAAGGGCGUUCGGUGGAUGCCUUGGCAGCAAGAGGCGAUGAAAGACGUGGUACGCUGCGAUAAGCUGUGGGGAGGUGCGAACAACCUUUGAUCCGCAGAUUUCUGAAUGGGGAAACCCACCUUCGAUCAGUAUUAUCUUGAAGCUCUGUAUCCUUGUUCCUGUCCAUGCAUGUGGGCGGAAGCAAACUUCGGUUUGUGAUGCAGGUUUUGAGCUAAUACUGGUCAACAAGAAGGUAUUCUCUCCCUGAAUACAUAGGGGAUUGAAAGCGAACCCAGGGAACUGAAACAUCUAAGUACCUGGAGGAAAGGAUAUCAACGAAACUCCGUAAGUAGUGGCGAGCGAACGCGGAUCAGGCCAAUGCUUCUGUACGUCUAAGUGGAACCGUCUGGAAAGUCGGGCAUUAUCGGGUGAUAGCCCCGUACACGUGUUGAUUUACAGGAGAUAUGAGUAGGGCGGGACACGUGCAAUCCUGUCUGAAUAUGGGGGGACCACCCUCCAAGCCUAAGUACUCCUUGCUGACCGAUAGCGAACUAGUACCGUGAGGGAAAGGUGAAAAGCACCCCGACAAGGGGAGUGAAACAGCACCUGAAACCGGAUGCCUACAAACAGUCGGAGCCCGCAAGGGUGACGGCGUACCUUUUGUAUAAUGGGUCAGCGACUUAAAGUAACGAGCAAGCUUAAGCCGAUAGGUGUAGGCGCAGCGAAAGCGAGUCUGAACAGGGCGUUCAGUUCGUUGCUUUAGACCCGAAACCGGGUGAUCUAGCCAUGAGCAGGUUGAAGGUGCAGUAACAUGCACUGGAGGACCGAACCGGUGCCUGUUGAAAAAGUCUCGGAUGACUUGUGGCUAGGGGUGAAAGGCCAAUCAAACUCGGAAAUAGCUGGUUCUCCGCGAAAGCUAUUUAGGUAGCGCCUCGGACGAAUACCUCAGGGGGUAGAGCACUGGAUGGGCUAGGGGGUCUUACCGACCUACCAAACCUAACCAAACUCCGAAUACCUGAGAGUACUAUCCGGGAGACACACGGCGGGUGCUAACGUCCGUCGUGGAGAGGGAAACAACCCUGACCAUCAGCUAAGGCCCCAAAGUCGUGGUUAAGUGUGAAAGGAUGUGGGAAUCCAUAAACAACCAGGAGGUUGGCUUAGAAGCAGCCAUCCUUUAAAGAAAGCGUAACAGCUCACUGGUCUAGGGUUCCUGCGCCGAAAAUGUAACGGGGCUCAAACCACGCGCCGAAGCUAUGGACUCCGUAAGGAGUGGUAGCGGAGCGUUCUGCAAGUCUGUGAAGGAGGACCCGUGAGGGCCUCUGGAGAUACCAGAAGUGCGAAUGCUGACAUGAGUAACGCAUAACAGUGUGAGAGACACUGUCGCCGUAAGUCCAAGGGUUCCUGCGUAAAGCUAAUCUACGCAGGGUUAGCCGGCCCCUAAGGCGAGGCCGAAAGGCGUAGUCGAUGGGAAGCACGCAAAUAUUCGUGCGCUAGUGGGUAGUGACGGAUCGAAACGGUAGUACACCCUUAUUGGAUUGGGUGUGCUGCUUGGAGGUUCCAGGAAAUAGCUCCCACAUUAAACCGUACCCUAAACCGACACAGGUGGACUGGUAGAGUAUACCAAGGCGCUUGAGAGAACUAUGUUGAAGGAACUCGGCAAUUUACCUCCGUAACUUCGGGAUAAGGAGGCCCAGCGUCACGCAAGUGGUGUCUGGGGGCACAGACCAGGGGGUGGCGACUGUUUACCUAAAACACAGGGCUCUGCGAAGUCGCAAGACGACGUAUAGGGUCUGACGCCUGCCCGGUGCCGUGAAAUUGAAUUCCCCGUGAAGAUGCGGGGUUCCUGCGAUCAGACGGAAAGACCCCAUGAACCUUUACUGUAGCUUUGCACUGGCAUUCGUGUCGGCAUGUGUAGGAUAGGUGGUAGACGUUGAACCCUGGGCGCCAGCUCAGGUGGAGUCACCCUUGAAAUACCACCCUUAUCGACAUGGAUGUCUAACCGCAGCCCCUCAGCGGGGUUCGGGACAGUGCAUGGUGGGCAGUUUGACUGGGGCGGUCGCCUCCCAAAGUGUAACGGAGGCGCGCGAUGGUGAGCUCAGAACGGUCGGAAAUCGUUCGUCGAGUGCAAUGGCAAAAGCUCGCCUGACUGCAAGACUGACAAGUCGAGCAGAGACGAAAGUCGGUCAUAGUGAUCCGGUGGUUCCUCGUGGGAGGGCCAUCGCUCAACGGAUAAAAGGUACUCUGGGGAUAACAGGCUGAUGACGCCCAAGAGUCCAUAUCGACGGCGUCGUUUGGCACCUCGAUGUCGGCUCAUCACAUCCUGGGGCUGGAGCAGGUCCCAAGGGUUCGGCUGUUCGCCGAUUAAAGUGGUACGUGAGCUGGGUUCAGAACGUCGUGAGACAGUUCGGUCCCUAUCUGUCGUGGGUGUAGGAGUGUUGAGAGGAUUUGUCCCUAGUACGAGAGGACCGGGAUGAACACACCUCUGGUGGACCUGUUGUCGUGCCAACGGCAAUGCAGGGUAGCUAUGUGUGGACGGGAUAACCGCUGAAUGCAUCUAAGCGGGAAACCCACCUCAAAACGAGCGCUCCCUUGAGAGGCGUGGAAGACGACCACGUUGAUAGGCUGGGUGUGUAAGCGCGGUAACGUGUUGAGCUUACCAGUACUAAUCCCUCGAUCGGCUUGAUC